rnacentral:rRNA from 1 species
ACGAACGCUGGCGGCGUGGAUAAGACAUGCAAGUCGAACGAGAGAAUUGCUAGCUUGCUAAUAAUUCUCUAGUGGCGCACGGGUGAGUAACACGUGAGUAACCUGCCCCCGAGAGCGGGAUAGCCCUGGGAAACUGGGAUUAAUACCGCAUAGUAUCGAAAGAUUAAAGCAGCAAUGCGCUUGGGGAUGGGCUCGCGGCCUAUUAGUUAGUUGGUGAGGUAACGGCUCACCAAGGCGAUGACGGGUAGCCGGUCUGAGAGGAUGUCCGGCCACACUGGAACUGAGACACGGUCCAGACACCUACGGGUGGCAGCAGUCGAGAAUCAUUCACAAUGGGGGAAACCCUGAUGGUGCGACGCCGCGUGGGGGAAUGAAGGUCUUCGGAUUGUAAACCCCUGUCAUGUGGGAGCAAAUUAAAAAGAUAGUACCACAAGAGGAAGAGACGGCUAACUCUGUGCCAGCAGCCGCGGUAAUACAGGGGUCUCAAGCGUUGUUCGGAAUCACUGGGCGUAAAGCGUGCGUAGGCUGUUUCGUAAGUCGUGUGUGAAAGGCGCGGGCUCAACCCGCGGACGGCACAUGAUACUGCGAGACUAGAGUAAUGGAGGGGGAACCGGAAUUCUCGGUGUAGCAGUGAAAUGCGUAGAUAUCGAGAGGAACACUCGUGGCGAAGGCGGGUUCCUGGACAUUAACUGACGCUGAGGCACGAAGGCCAGGGGAGCGAAAGGGAUUAGAUACCCCUGUAGUCCUGGCAGUAAACGGUGCACGCUUGGUGUGCGGGGAAUCGACCCCCUGCGUGCCGGAGCUAACGCGUUAAGCGUGCCGCCUGGGGAGUACGGUCGCAAGAUUAAAACUCAAAGAAAUUGACGGGGACCCGCACAAGCGGUGGAGUAUGUGGCUUAAUUCGAUGCAACGCGAAGAACCUUACCUGGGCUUGACAUGUAAUGAACAACAUGUGAAAGCAUGCGACUCUUCGGAGGCGUUACACAGGUGCUGCAUGGCCGUCGUCAGCUCGUGUCGUGAGAUGUUUGGUUAAGUCCAGCAACGAGCGCAACCCCUGUUGCCAGUUACCAGCACGUGAAGGUGGGGACUCUGGCGAGACUGCCCAGAUCAACUGGGAGGAAGGUGGGGACGACGUCAGGUCAGUAUGGCCCUUAUGCCCAGGGCUGCACACGUACUACAAUGCCCAGUACAGAGGGGGCCGAAGCCGCGAGGCGGAGGAAAUCCUAAAAACUGGGCCCAGUUCGGACUGUAGGCUGCAACCCGCCUACACGAAGCCGGAAUCGCUAGUAAUGGCGCAUCAGCUACGGCGCCGUGAAUACGUUCCCGGGUCUUGUACACACCGCCCGUCACAUCAUGGAAGCCGGUCGCACCCGAAGUAUCUGAAGCCAACCGCAAGGAGGCAGGGUCCUAAGGUGAGACUGGUAACUGGGAUG